rnacentral:rRNA from 1 species
UCUACGGGUGGCUGCAGUGAGGAAUAUUGGUCAAUGGGCUUACGCCUGAACCAGCCAAGUCGCGUGAGGGAAGACUGCCCUAUGGGUUGUAAACCUCUUUUGUCAGGGAGCAACGCCGGCUACGUGUAGCCGGACUGAGAGUACCCGAAGAAAAAGCAUCGGCUAACUCCGUGCAAGCAGCCGCGGUAAUACGGAGGAUGCGAGCGUUAUCCGGAUUUAUUGGGUUUAAAGGGUGCGUAGGCGGACUGGAAAGUCAGCGGUAAAAUCGAGAGGCUCAACCUCUUUCCGCCGUUGAAACUGUCGGUCGUGAGUGGGCGAGAAGUAUGCGGAAUGCGUGGUGUAGCGGUGAAAUGCAUAGAUAUCACGCAGAACUCCGAUUGCGAAGGCAGCAUACCGGCGCCCGACUGACGCUGAGGCACGAAAGCGUGGGUAUCGAACAGGAUUAGAUACCCGAGUAGUC